UAUUGGGCAAUGGGCGAAAGCCUGAUCCAGCCAUGCCGCGUGAAUGAUGAAGGCCUUAGGGUUGUAAAAUUCUUUUACCCGGGAAGAUAAUGACAGUACCCGGAGAAUAAGCCCCGGCUAACUUCGUGCCAGCAGCCGCGGUAAUACGAAGGGAGCUAGCGUUGUUCGGAAUUACUGGGCGUAAAGGGCGCGUAGGCGGACAGGUAAGUCAGAGGUGAAAGCCCAGGGCUCAACCUCAGAAUUGCCUUUGAUACUGCCUGGCUUGAGUUCAGGAGAGGUGAGUGGAAUUCCGAGUGUAGAGGUAAAUUCGUAGAUUUUGGGAAGUACACCCAGUGGGAAAGGGACUCCACGGGAACUAUAUUGACGCUGAGGGUGCGAAA
rnacentral:rRNA from 1 species